CGCCGCGGAGGGUCGGCUCCGGCGGCCGCGAUCCGGGCCUGCGCCUCCAGCCGGGCGCCGAGGGGGCCCCGGGGCGGCGGCGGGCGGCGGGCGGCGGGCCUGCGAGUCGCGGAGCCGGACGCGCGUGAGGAGGAGGCAGGGCCCCGGCCCCGCAGCGGGCUGUGUGCGGAGAGAGCUGUCGCGCGCCCACCGCCUCGCCGUCCACCGCCUCGCCGGGGAGGAUGAACCCAGCCAACCCUUUCAGCGGGCCGCAGCCUGGGGUUUUCCCAGCAUCUACCGGUGGUUCCAUAGGCACAUUUCAGGCUAAGCCACCCUUCCGAUUCGGUCAGCCUUCUUCUUUUGGGCAGAGUAAUACGCUAUCUGGGAAAACCUCGGGAUUUUCACAGGUAUCCAGCUUUCCCACGUCUUCUGGACUAAGUCAUUCUUCUCCAGCACAAACAUUAGGAUUCUCCCAAACCUCAAACGUUGGACUCUUUUCUGGACUUGAACAAACUCCAGCUUUUGUCGCUGCCUCUGGGUCUUCAAGUUCAUGUGUGUCGGCACACCCAGGUUUUAGUUUUAAGUCACCCAAUUUUGGGGCUUUCCCGGGUACGUCUUCGUUUGGACAAGAAAGUGGGGAAAUAGCAAGCUCUGGUUUUGGGAAAACAGAGUUUAGCUUUAAACCUCUGGAAAAUUCUGUGUUUAGACCAAUAUUUGGAGCUGAAUCUGAGCCAGAGAAAACUCAGAGCUCAGUUACUUCCGGAUUUUUUACAUUUUCUCACCCAAUUAGUAGCGGUCCUGGGGGUCUUGCUCCAUUUUCUUUUCCUCAGGUGACAAGCAGCUCAGCUGCCACUUCAAACUUUACCUUUUCAAAACCAGUCAAUAGUAAUAAUUCAUCAUCUGCCUUUACCUCUGCUUUAUCAAACCAAAAUGUAGAGGAAGAGAAGAGGACCUCUAAGUCACUAUUUGGAAGUUCUAAUAGUAGCUUCACUAACUUCCCCGUAUCGUCAGGACCUCUGGGUGAACCGUUCCCAGGUAGCAAAACAGGUGUAAGACAAGGAUGUGAAGACCGUGUUUCCCAGAUGGAGCCACUUCCCAGCCUCACGAAAGGACUGAAAAGGAAGGAGGACCAGGACCGGUCCCCAAGGAGGCCUGGGCAUGAUGCGGCAGAAGACGUGGACGCUUUGUCCAGGGGAGAUCACCCUCCAGAUAAGCGACCUGUCCGCCUGAAUCGACCCCGGGGAGGCACCUUGUUUGGUCGAACGAUACAAGACGUCUUCAAAAGCAAUAAAGAAGUAAGUCGUUUGGGCAACAAGGAAUCUAAAAAGGAUAUUGGCUGUGCCGAAUCUGGGGAGAACGACCACGCGGCCAUCCCAGGAGGAAGUCCGUCUGUCUUGGCACCUUCCCGGCUCCCAGGUGUGAAUAAAGAGGAAGAAACUGAAAGUAGAGAGAAAAAAGAAGAUUCUCUAAGAGGAACGCCCGGACGUCAAAGUAAAAGAAGCGAGAGCGCAGACAGUCUUGGGGGCUUGUCUGCCACUGAAAUCACAGCAAUCCAGUGUAAGAACAUCCCCGACUCUCUCAAUAACAGGACAAUUCUGGAGAACCACUUUGGUAAAAUUGCUAAAGUGCAGCGUAUCUAUACCAGGCGCAGCAAAAAGCUUGCAGUGGUGUAUUUUUUUGAUCAUGUAUCUGCAGCCCUGGCUAGGAAGAAGGGGAAAGGCUUGCAUAAAGACAUGUCUAUCUUUUGGCACAAGAAGAAAAUAAGUCCCAACAAGAAGCCCUUUUCCAUAAAGGAGAAGAAGCCAGGCGACGGCGAAGCUGGCCAGGGCCCUGAGGACACGGCCUUUCAGCACUCUUCUCUCGGCAAGCCCGGGGCGAGGGCCGCAGCUGGCUCCCUCCUGAACAAAAGUUCUCCAGUGAAGAAGCCAAGUCUUCUGAAGACCCAUCAGUUUGAGGGGGACCCUUUUGACUCGGGCUCCGAGGGCUCUGAGGGUCUCGGGCCGUGUGUGUCAUCGCUUAGCACCCUGAUAGGCACCGUGGCUGAGACUUCUGAGGAAAAGUACCGCCUGCUUGACCAGAGGGACAGAAUCAUGCGGCAAGCGCGGGUGAAAAGAACCGACCUGGACAAAGCGAGGACUUUCGUUGGGACGUGCCCAGACAUGUGUCCUGAGAAGGAGCGGUACAUGCGGGAGACCCGGAGUCAGCUGAGCGUGUUUGAAGUGGUCCCAGGGACUGACCAGGUGGACCACGCGGCCGCUGUAAAGGAGUACAGCCGCUCCUCCGCCGAUCAGGAAGAACCGCUUCCGCACGAGCUGCGGCCCUCAGCGGUGCUCAGCAGGACCAUGGACUACUUGGUGACUCAGAUCAUGGACCAGAAGGAGGGCAGCCUGCGGGACUGGUAUGACUUCGUGUGGAACCGCACCCGGGGCAUACGGAAGGACAUCACGCAGCAGCACUUGUGUGACCCUGUGACGGUGUCUCUGAUUGAGAAGUGCACCCGGUUCCACAUCCACUGUGCUCACUUCCUGUGUGAGGAGCCCAUGUCCUCCUUUGAUGCCAAGAUCAACAAUGAGAACAUGACCAAGUGCCUUCAGAGUCUGAAGGAGAUGUACCAGGACCUGAGAAACAAGGGCGUGUUCUGUGCCAGUGAAGCUGAGUUCCAGGGGUACAACGUUCUGCUCAAUCUCAACAAGGGGGACAUCCUAAGAGAAGUACAGCAGUUCCAUCCUACCGUUAGAAAUUCCUCCGAAGUGAAAUUUGCUGUUCAGGCCUUUGCUGCAUUGAACAGCAAUAAUUUUGUGAGAUUUUUCAAACUGGUCCGGUCGGCUUCUUACCUGAAUGCUUGUCUUUUACACUGUUAUUUUAAUCAGAUCCGAAAAGAUGCUCUCCGAGCGCUCAACAUCGCGUACACUGUGAGCACGCAGCGCUCCACGGUCUUUCCCCUGGACAGCGUGGUGCGCAUGCUGCUGUUCCGAGACGGGGACGAGGCCACAGACUUCCUGAACUUCUACGGUCUCACAGUCUCUGAUGGCUGUGUCGAGCUGAACCGGUCCUCGUUCCUGGAGCCAGAGGGGUUGUCCAAGGCCAGGAAGUCGGUGUUCAUUACCAGGAAGCUGACUGUGUCGGUCGGGGAGAUCGUGAAUGGAGGGCCGCUGCCCCUCGUCCCUCGUCACACCCCCGUGUGCAGCUUCAACUCCCAGAACAAGUACAUCGGGGAGAGCCUGGCUGCAGAGCUGCCUGUGGGCACCCAGAGACCCAGCUUGGACACAGUAGGUGGGGCAAAAGGAGAGGCAUGUGGGGCGGAGGCAGAGGUACCGCCAACCACUCUCCUCCAGCAGCCCCUUCCCAGUGCCGCACCCACACCAGCUUCUCUGCCUCACGUCCUGGCACCGACCCCGAGCAUAGCGCCUGGCCUCUUCCAGCCCCCUGGGCAGCCCCCCAUGCAGCCCCCUGCGCAGCCCGAAUUGCUUCCUCCGAGGCCUGCACCUUCGUACUCUGAUGCGGACCUGGCUCAAGUGGUGGAUGAGCUCAUCCAGGAGGUUCUUCAGAGGGACUGUGAGGAGGUUGGUGCCGCUGGGGCGGCCUUCGCGACCACAGCUCUGGGUGUUUCCAAUGCUGCUGUGGAGGAGAUAUUAACCGCCGCAACCGCAGGCAUCUUGAGGCACGUAGCAGCGGAGGAAGUGGCUAAGGAAAGGGAGCGCAAAGAGGAGGAGAGGCGGCAGGCGGAAGAGGAGAGGUUGAAACAAGAGAGAGAACUGGUGUUAACUCAGCUGAGCCAGGGCCUGGCAACAGAGCUGACAGAACUUGUCGUGACAGAAUGCGUGAGGGAAACCUGCUCCCAGGAGCUGAAGAGCGCAGUGGAGACAGACCAGCAGGUCCGUAUGGCCCGUUGCUGUGAGGAUGUCUGUGCCCACCUGGUGGACUUGUUUCUUGGGGAAGAGAUUUUCCAGACCGCGAAGGAGACCCUCCAGGAACUUCAGUGCUUCUGCAAGUAUCUCCAGCGGUGGAGGGAAGCCGUCGCGGCCCGGAAGAAACUGAGGCGCCAGAUGCGAGCCUUCCCUGCAGCACCCUGCUGUGUGGACAUGAACGACCGGCUCAGGGCAUUGGUGCCCAGUGCAGAGUGUCCCAUUGCUCGGGAGAACUUGGCCAAGGGCCUUCUGGACCUGGGCCAUGCAGGGAAAGUGGGCAUCUCCUGUACCAGGUUAAGGCGGCUCCGAAAUAAGACGGCACACCAGAUGAAGGUUCAGCACUUCUACAAGCAGCUGCUGAGCGAUGCGGCAUGGGUGCCCCUGGACCUGCCGUCCCUCGUGGCCGAGCACCUCCCUGGGAGGCGGGAGCGUGUGUUUUGGAAGCUCGUGCUGGUGUUGCCUGAUGGAGAAGAGCAGUCCCCAGGGAAUCCUGGCAGAAUUUUAGCAAACUGGUUACAAGUCAAGUUCAUGGGACGUGAUGGCUCAGUGGGCGACACAAACAGUGAGGCUGGGGGCAUCCAGACACUCGCUCUGUUUCACGCGCUCAGCAGCAAAGGGGACCAGACUGUUGCUGUCAAUGUGUGUAUAAAGGUGGCUCACGGUGCUCUCAGCGACUACGCCCUCGACGCCGUGGAGAUGCAGAAGGAGCUCCUAGGAGCCAGUGGGCUCAUGCUGCUGCUUCCGCCCAAAGUGGAGAGUGAGGAUGUGGCGGAGGAGGACGUGUACUGGCUGUCCGCACUGCUGCAGCUCAAGCAGCUUCUCCAGGCCAAGCCCUUCCAGCCUGCGCUUCCACUCGUGGUCCUCGUACCUAGCCCGGCGGGGCACGCCAUGGAGAAGGAAGUGGAAGAUGGUCUGAUGCUGCGGGAUUUGGUUUCAGCUAAGCUGAUUUCAGAUUAUACUGUUAUUGUGAUCCCCGAUUCCAUUAAUGAUUUACAAGGCACAACUAAGGUGUCGCGGGCCGUGCAGUGGCUGGUCUCCCACUGCCCCUGUUCCCUGGACCUUUGCUGCCAGACCCUCAUUCAGUACGUGGAAGACGGCGUUGGGCGCGAGUUUAGUGGCCGGUUUUUCCGUGACAGAAGAGAGAGGCGGCAGGGCGGCCUGGCCUCGCAGGAGCCCGGAGCCAUCAUCGAGCUGUUCAACAGUGUGCUGCACUUCCUGGCCUCCCUGGUGUCUUCUGAACAGCUCUGCGACCUGUCCUGGCCUGUCACCGAGUUCGCCGAGGCGGGGGGCAGCCGGCUGCUCCCGCACCUUCACUGGAACGCCCCGGAGCACCUGGCCUGGCUAAGGCAGGCUGUGCUCAGCUUCCAGCUGCCCCAGAUGGACCUUCCACCGCCGGGGGCGCCCUGGCUCCCCAUGUGCUCCAUGGUCGUCCAGUAUGCCUCCCAGAUCCCCAGCUCUCGCCAGACGCAGCCCGUCCUCCAGUCCCAGGUGGAAAACCUGCUCUGCAGAACCUACCGCAGGUGGAAGAGCAAAAGCCAUUCCCUGGACCCGGGGACGGGGCCCUCGGUCGCUGACAUCCCAUGGGACGAUGUCAUUGCUUUGUGCAUCAACCACAAGCUGAGGGACUGGACGCCCCCCAGGCUUCCUGUCACAACAGAGGCUCUGAGUGAAGAUGGUCAGAUAUGUGUAUAUUUUUUUAAAAACCACUUGAAAAAAUAUGAUGUUCCUCUGUCAUGGGAACAAGCCAGAAUGCAGACCCAGAAGGAGCUACAUCUGAGCCAGGAGCGUUUGGGGAUAAAGUCUUUUCAUCCUGCGAACAAGUUUCCGGCCCCGUUACUGCACAUGCACCGCAAAGGGAAGAGGAAUGUCGAACGUAGCCCAGAGCGGGUGGUUCCCGGUCCCCAAGGUCUGGUGUGCGGAGCCUCUGCCCAGGAGCUCCUGGCGCAGUGUCUGUCCCGGAGUCUGCUGCUGGAGAAGGAGGAGAGCAAGAGGUUUGAAGAUCAGCUUCAGCAGUGGUUGUCUGCAGACUCCGGAGUGUUUACGGGUUCGAGGGCCCUUCCCCUCUACCUUCCUCAGACUCUGGUGUCUCUGCCUCACACUCUUGAACCUGUGAUGAAGACAGUGACCACGGCCAGCCCUCAGGUGGGAGGAGAGUACAUUUGGCAUUUGAAUUAGAAUUCAAGACUGAGGGAAUGGCUGGGAAAAGUAACGUCUCCAUUCGUCGUACGGUGUUGUGAUGACCAAUAAAUUAUCAGUGUUAAUCAUAAAAGUGGAAACUAAAUGUCCAAAGAUGAGAGUCUGGCUAAGCUAUUACAGGUCAUGUGAUGGAGUAGCUCAUAGGCCUCCAUAGUGAUAUUUUGUAGAAAUGACUGACACUGAAAGUCGUUGAAGAUACAAUCUGAAGGUAACACUCCGUGUGCAGGUGACAGCAGCUGUAGACGUGUGUGCUGGAAGAGGCUGGAAGGAUGCAGAGGCUAAGAGGCGUGUUUGUUGAGCCCAGUAGAUACCAGAUGAAGUUUCUAACACGAGCCAGAUCUGCUGCCCUUAAAGAGAAUAUAUUUGGGUUUAUGGAUAUCCCCAAACUAUUUUUAGGUUCUUUUUUAUUUAAAUAGAACGAAAGGACAGGGGAGCAGCUGCAGUUGUCAGAGGCAACGGGCACAUCUGUGAGCGAAAGGCUGAAGCACCU